UCUACACGGGGCAUGAGAUAUGCCCAUUCAAAGUCUGCAAUUUCAAUCGGUUGCUAUAGUGCCCCCCUUUGGCCAAUUGAAUAUUGCUUCAUUUGUAUCCUCCCAUGACCCUCUACCACUGUGCCAAAUUUCACAUGGAUUGACCAAGUCAGUGAGGAACUCACAGAGUUUUCGUCAUUAUACACGGCGUUGGCCGUGCCUGUUGUGUGCAGCUUCUGAGGGGACUUUGAAAAGCGUGGUGUCUGCUCUUCCUCACUGCGAGACGGUGACUGGGUUUGAGCUGUGCGUUAAGCUCCCUUCGCUCCGGUAAGCUCGCUCUGUUUUUUUAUUUCUACUUCUGCUAGUUCUGUUAACUUUAUGUUAACAGGUUGUCCUGCUCUCUGUCCUGCUGUAGCUGAGGCCACAGCUUGUGGCUUCUUCUCCUCCUCUGUGCUCUGUGUGGGGCUGCACUCCGUAGCCUGGUGACGUGGGCCGCCAGCUGGGCAUCCUGAAGGCCUCCAGCCCUGGUGCGGCUGCUCCGUUUUCCACAGACUGAUUAAAGCACACUGUAACGCGGCUGUGCAUUGAUGCGGCUUUGGACCUCCAUCCCACCACGACUUCAUUUUGGACAGGAGCUUUUGCAAACAGCGGCAGUCUUCCCCGGUGGUGGUGUCCCCCCUCACUCCCUUUAAUUUGGCGUGGCACGUGGUGGUUUGGUUUGCAUGGAAACAUCUGUCCAUCUGACAAUGACGGCCCAGGUACUGCACAGGCAUAUACAAAUAAAUUACAUCGUUGGGUUUUCUUCCAUAACAUGGUUAUUCCAUAUUUUCUAUUCUUAGAAAAAACACAUUUUAUGAAUUACACUUGAUUUUGAUCUAGGUUACAUCCUCCCCCCUUAAAUCCAUGUACGGCCCUGAGCAUGUAAAAUGAUUACACUGUGUAGAUCUCUGGAGCAGAGAAGGGCUUAAGGCAUCCGUAUAAGCAGACGAAAGGCUUCGGUAAAGAGUUUACCUAGUUUACCUACCUAGAUUACCUAAUUGAGCAUACUAUAACCUAUUUGGAUGUUCUUGGGAUCGUUGAGAGCGUCAAAGGAAGUGGCAACUUCAACUGGGUCAGUCUCAGGAUUAGCAGCAGCAGCCUUGGGAUGAAGUUCGUCUGCAAUGGGUCGUUCAGGAUCCUCAACUACUCCAUCAGGUGAGUCUCCUUCUGGUAGGGUAUUGUUAGGUAGAUUUUCCUCCACAGGUCCAGGUAAGUUUUCCAAUAGUUCCUCAGUAACCAGGUUUUCCUCCGCAGGCCCAGUUAAGUCUGACUUGUUCCUGUCCGGUGAUUCAGGUGAGUUUCUUUUAUCCAAGGGUUCAGUGGGGGAUUCAGCAGAGAGGAAAAGUUGAGGCGUUUUUGCCAGGGAACGGGUGAUAGAUUUCCAGCUUUGCUGUCACCAUCCACAUUAGAUUUAACCAGUGGAACUGGACAUUGUGGAAUCCAAUCAAAGUCAUCAUCAUCUUCUUCCUCAUCAUCAUUCAGAUCAGCAGAGCUGGCUUCACUGAUAUGGUAUUGACGUGUUCGGGGUCUACGGGCAGGGGGAGUCUCCUCCUGUACUGACGGAGGAAGGAACCCACAGGGAUGAAGAAGGUCUUGAUGUAAGGUGGGCUGGGGACCAUCUUUAGUUUCUGGCUUCACCGUAUAGACUGAGAGAUCACCUGCCUGCUUAAUGACAACGAAGUGUUUUUAUGGUGGAUUUAUUUGAUUUGAUUUUCCUUGUUUUUAGAUUUUUAAUAUAAAUGUCAUGAUAAUCUGUUUCCUAUGUUAGGCUCUUUUGUUUCAUUUUUAUGAAUGUAUUGUGUUAGAUAAUUUAUCAUUAUUAUUG